GUGGUCAUAAACCUUGUGUUUAAAUUUCAUUGAUUUCUAUUUACUUAUACUAAAGUUAUUGUGCGAAAACCAAGAAUAAUGCUUAUUUGGGCCCUUUUUUUGGCCCUAAUUCCUAAACUGUUGGAACCAAAACUCCCAAAAUCAAUCCAAACCUUCCUUUUGUGGUCAUAAACCUUGUGUCAAAAUUUCAUUGAUUUCUAUUUACUUAAAC
rnacentral:lncRNA from 1 species